AGAAUAGAAUAGAAAAGGUUUAUUGACACAGUAAAAAAGACACAAUACAAAAAAAAACAACAAAAACACAAAAUAUGUAGGCUAUCAAAAAACAAGUGGUGAGAAAAAACUGUGCCAAUAGGCACCCGCUCAGCAUUUAUCGUGACAUGCUCAAAAGGGCAAGUCACGAAGCUGGUCUUCCGCGGACGCCCUUGCUUAUUGCGCAACCCUUGGAGAAGACACCGUCUAAAAUAAUGUAACCGUAAAUUAUAAUUAGUGAAAGUUCGAUGUCUCUCCAAGGGGCACGCAACGCAGGGUUGUGUGUAUAAUUCGGUUACAGUACGCAUCAAGAAUAAAAAAAAAAUACAAAUAACUUAUCAAAACAACACAAGAGAAGAAUAAAAAUAAAAAAAACAUAACAAGAAACAACAACAACAAAACCUCGAAAAUCGAAUUAUCGAUUAAUCGCACAGAUGAUAUCGUAAGUAUCGUAAUAAAUUAAAAUUAAUCGGCUUGACAACUCCAGUGUGUACUAAUUAUUUAUUUAAGGUAAUUGGCUGAUUAUUCCAAAGAAAGACAUUCCAAGUAAAUAAUGCAAAAUACUGUUCAUCGAUAAAGAUCGCAUUACAGCAACUUUUUAAUGCCACGGUUAAAUACACGACAGCGGUGGCAAAAUGAAAGUUCCCAAAGCGGUGUAAAAAAAAAAAAAAAAAUGUUAAAAUAAAGAGAAAAAAACUGUCACGGAGAGAAAAAAGGUUACCCAGCAAAUUAAAUAUUCAGAACAGCCAUUAAUUUUACAAAUUUUCGCGAGAGACGCCAUUUAUGCCAUGUGUUUGCCACGUAAUAAAGCGAGAAAAGCUCUUUAUUAUUGAAAUUGCGGCAGGCGACAGCAGGAAGAGAGAGAAAAUGUCUCGCGUGGAUCCACCCCGCUCGCUCGUACCUAGCCCGGCAAACACGCCGCACCGCACUUCCCGGAUUGUUUUAGGGUGCGCCAAAAAGCCGGGGAAACCGCCAGUCGAAGCUCAACCGGACGCUAGAAAUUAUUUAUGCUGGGACACGCCUGCCAACGCACGCGCACGUCGUGUACAUCCCCCUGGCACGCAAUGGCGGGGGCAGGUCGUUCCAGCACCGCGACGCAGCGAAUCUGAAGGAGCCUCGAAAUGCCACAGUGCGAUGUCUUGGAGUAGCAAAGAUGUGGGUGCACUGCCUCCUUGGAUAUCCGCUGUGGACCCAAUCCAGCUUUAGGAAUAGCAAUAUCCUACACUGGAACAACCUGUGAUAGUGUGAAAUUGUAUCACCGCUGGAAAUUAUCAGUACCGAACCAACAACAACGAGACAAAAAAGCAAUAAAUUAAGCAUAUAAAACAAAUUUUGGUCAACCGCCAGUCAUUGCGCCGGGGAGCCGAACACCCUCACAACGUCCUCCAUAGAGCGCAGCUGGAACACCUGCGCGCCGUCGCCUCUACGAGCGAAAACGCGGCCCCUCCUGGUCCAAGUGUACUUCCACUGGAGACGACGGCACUCCUCCCGAACCCGGUGAAAGAGCUGGCGAUUCAGCCGGGUCAGGCGCUCAUUGAUGAAAACUCUCGCUCCACCCUCGCCGGUGACACCGCGGCGCACACGCGCGGCCUGCAGCAGC